GACCUCGGAUCAGGUAGGAAUACCCGCUGAACUUAAGCAUAUCAAUAAGCGGAGGAAAAGAAACCAACAGGGAUUACCCUAGUAACGGCGAGUGAAGCGGUAACAGCUCAAAUUUGAAAUCUGGCCUUCACGGGUCCGAGUUGUAAUUUGUAGAGGAUGUUUCGGACAAGGCUGUGGUUUAAGUUUCUUGGAACAGAACGUCAUAGAGGGUGAGAGUCCCGUCUAGAACCGAAAGCCGCGUCCAUGUGAAACUCCUUCGACGAGUCGAGUUGUUUGGGAAUGCAGCUCAAAAUGGGUGGUAAAUUUCAUCUAAAGCUAAAUAUUGGCCAGAGACCGAUAGCGCACAAGUAGAGUGAUCGAAAGAUGAAAAGCACUUUGAAAAGAGAGUUAAACAGUAUGUGAAAUUGUUGAAAGGGAAGCGCUUGCAACCAG
rnacentral:rRNA from 1 species